UGAAGCGGCAACAGCUCAAAUUUGAAAGCUGGCCCCCCCGGGGGUCCGCGUUGUAAUUUGUAGAGGAUGAUUCGGCGAGGGCUCCCGCCUAAGUCCCCUGGAACGGGGCGUCAUAGAGGGUGAGAAUCCCGUAUGCGGUGGGCUGCCUUAGCCACGUGAAUCUCCUUCGACGAGUCGAGUUGUUUGGGAAUGCAGCUCUAAAUGGGAGGUAAAUUUCUUCUAAAGCUAAAUACCGGCCAGAGACCGAUAGCGCACAAGUAGAGUGAUCGAAAGAUGAAAAGCACUUUGGAAAGAGAGUUAAAAAGUACGUGAAAUUGUUGAAAGGGAAGCGCUUGCAGCCAGACUUGUCCGCAGUUGCUCAGCCGGUCUCCUGACCGGCGCACUCUUCUGCGGCCAGGCCAGCAUCAGUUCGGGCGGUCGGAUAAAGGCCCCGGGAACGUAGCUCCUCUCGGGGAGUGUUAUAGCCCGGGGUGGAAUGCGGCCAGCCCGGACUGAGGAUCUCGCUUCGGCUAGGAUGCUGGCGUAAUGGCUGUAAGCGGCCCGUCUUGAAACACGGACCAAGGAGUCUAACAUCUAUGCGAGUGUUUGGGUGUCAAACCCAUGCGCGUAAUGAAAGUGAACGGAGGUGGGAACCCUCGCGGGUGCACCAUCGACCGAUCCUGAUGUCUUCGGAUGGAUUUGAGUAAGAGCAUAGCUGUUGGGACCCGAAAGAUGGUGAA
rnacentral:rRNA from 1 species